GUCUAUUGACUAAACAGCUAGUUGUGGUCAAUUUAGAUCUAACUUGCAAUUCAUUUGUCCAAAAUAGAAGUGUCUCAAAAUAAUGCUUCAACACUGCUGUGGAUUUCUUUUUCUAGCAGGCUGUUCCCAACUCACAUUAACGCACUUCUCUUAAUGAAUAGACUCCAUUGUUGUAUCUGUAAUUACCAAAGUGGGAAAACUAAUUUUUGUUUGUUGCAAAUGCCCAUUCUAAAAUGUAGUCUAAAG